rnacentral:tRNA from 1 species
GGGACUGUGGGCCAGCGGAGUGGCCGCAGCGCCCUCAACGCUGAAAUCGUCGGUUCAACUCCCACCAGUCCCG